CCGACCUUAGCUCAGUUGGCAGAGCGGAGGACUGUAGUAGUUGCUGUGAUCCUUAGGUCGCUGGUUCGAAUCCGGCAGGUCGGA
rnacentral:tRNA from 1 species